UACGUAGGGUGCGAGCGUUAAUCGGAAUACUGGCGUAAAGCGUGCGCAGGCGGUGAUGUAAGACAGGUGUGAAAUCCCCGGGCUUAACCUGGGAACUGCAUUUGUGACUGCAUCGCUGGAGUGCGGCAGAGGGGGAUGGAAUUCCGCGUGUAGCAGUGAAAUGCGUAGAUAUGCGGAGGAACACCGAUGGCGAAGGCAAUCCCCUGGGCCUGCACUGACGCUCAUGCACGAAAGCGUGGGAGC
rnacentral:rRNA from 1 species